rnacentral:ncRNA from 1 species
GAGAGCUUUUUGCGGGGAAACUUGCAAGUAUAGUUUGGGGGAGACGGUCGUCGACCCAAC